rnacentral:rRNA from 1 species
UAAUACGUAGGGAGCGAGCGUUGUUCGGAUUUACUGGGCGUAAAGAGCACGUAGGCGGGUAUGCAAGUCGGUUGUGAAAUCCUCUGGCUCAACCAGAGAACUGCAAUCGAAACUGCAUACCUUGAGUCCAACAGAGGGAAUCGGAAUCCAAGGUGUAGCGGUGAAAUGCGUAGAUAUCUUGGAGAACAUCAGUGGCGAAGGCGGAUUCCUGGGUUGGUACUGACGCUGAGGUGCGAAAGCUAAGGUAGCGAACAGGAUUAGAUACCCUGGUAGUCUUAGCCGUAAACGAUGGGUACUAGGCGUUGGGGGACAUUGACCCCCUCAGUGCCGUAGCUAACGCAUUAAGUACCCCGCCUGGGGAGUACGGCCGCAAGGCUG